AUUGAACGCUGGCGGCCGGACUAACACAUGCAAGUCGAACGAGUGGCGGACGGGUGCGUAAUGUCUGGGACACUGCCUGAGGGAGGGGGAUAACUACUGGAAACGGUCGCUAAUACCGCAUAACAUCAGAUGUGGCCAGAUGGGAUUAGCUAGUGGGUGGGGGAACGGCUCACCAAGGCGACGAUCCCUAGCUGGUCUGAGAGGAUGACCGGCCACACUGUAACUGAGACGCGGUCCGGACGCCUACGAGAGUCAGAAGUGGGGAAUAUUGCACAAUGGGCGAAAGCCUGAGGCAGCCAUGCCGCGUGUAUGAAGAAGGCCUUCGGGUUGUAAAGUACUUUCAGCGGGGAGGCGUUACCCGCAGAAUAAGCACCGGCUAACUCCGUGCCAGCAGCCGCGGUAAUAC
rnacentral:rRNA from 1 species